UUAACACUAGAACUACCGAUAGUUAACACGAAGCUAUUUCUACCAAAACCAAUCAAAAUGACUGGUCUUUAAAAAAUACAUAAUAACAGAAUAUUUUUAUAUUUAUUGAUUUAUUACUUUCUUACAGAAGUAAUUCCAUGUUAUGUAGUACAUUUUUGGUAUUAUUAAACCAUCUGGGACCAUCAUCCCUAAACGAUGGUUGACAUAUUUAUAAAAUUGUAGAAUCAGUUGUUUUAACUGGUGUGAUAUUUCUAGUGUUAGCACCUAGCGAUCUAGCGAUCGAUCCGGAAUUUUCCUGAUAACUGAUAUCAUCAUAUUGAAUGAUACGCAGUAAAAAUUGUAAAAACGUGUUGGAAGUUGUACAAAACGAGGAAAUUGGUUAAUUGUGGUUCGAUAAACAAAUUGCACGACCCUUUUAUACUUUGACAGGCACCAGUACUUUUCACUGGUAUUGGUAUAAAUAGCCUUGAUACAAAAUUAUUUCGAGUUUGAAUACAUAAAAAACAAAAUAAAAUUCAUUAUAUUAUUCUUUUAGUUAUCGUUAUAUAACAUGAAGUAGGAAUUUUAAAAUAAAAUUGUAAAACCAGUCAAUUUGACUAGUGUGGUAGUUCUAGUGUUAAAAUGCUUUACUUAAUCUUGAUUACUUUGCAUUUAACAAUAAAAUGGUCAUAAAUUUUAUUGAGGGUGUCUUUUCGUUUCGUUUCUACAUUAUGAAGUAACCACGAAGCGUUUCUACCACCCUGAGAGAUGGUAGAUGAAAUCUAGGAGAAAAUUUUAGAUCAAUGAGGUGAAAUUUAUCUUACUAUUGGACUAUGAAAAUCUAAAAAAGAAACUUUUCAAAUUAAACAAUAAUAUCUCGAAUCAAUAACUUUUAUGACAAAAGUUAUUUUUACUGUCGAAUAGCUCUUUUCAAUCUCUCGCGCCUUUUAUUGAGCGAGGUGAUUUGGAGUUUCAUGGAUGCCAGCCUAUGUAA